rnacentral:rRNA from 1 species
GGGGAAUCUUGCGCAAUGGUCUAACGACUGACGCAGCGACGCCGCGUGUGGGAGGACGCCUUUCGGGGUGUAAACCACUGUUGCCCGGGACGAACAGGGUCAUUCGUGACCCCUGACGGUACCGGGUGAGGAAGCACCGGCUAACUCCGUGCCAGCAGCCGCGGUAAUACGGAGGGUGCGAGCGUUGUCCGGAAUCAUUGGGCGUAAAGGGCGCGUAGGUGGCCCGGUCAGUCCGUGGUGAAAGCGCGGGGCUCAACCCUGCGUCGGCCAUGGAUACUGCCGCGGCUGGAGCACUGUAGAGGCAGGCGGAAUUCCGGGUGUAGCGGUGAAAUGCGUAGAUAUCUGGAGGAACACCGGUGGCGAAGGCGGCAUCCUGGACCAAUAUUGACGCUGAGGAGCGAAAGCCAGGGGAGCAAAC